rnacentral:rRNA from 1 species
CGGAGGAUCCAAGCGUUAUCCGGAUUCAUUGGGUUUAAAGGGUGCGUAGGCGGAAUGGUAAGUCAGUGGUGAAAUCUCGGAGCUUAACUCCGAAACUGCCAUUGAUACUGUCAAUCUUGAGUACAUUUGAUGAGGGCGGAAUGUGUCAUGUAGCGGUGAAAUGCUUAGAUAUGACACAGAACACCGAUUGCGAAGGCAGCUCUCAAAACUGUAACUGACGCUGAGGCACGAAAGCGUGGGUAUCAAACAGGAUUAGAUACCCUGGUAGUCCACGCUGUAAACUAUGAUUACUCGAUGUUUGCGAUAUACUGUAAGCGUCUAAGCGAAAGCGAUAAGUAAUCCACCUGGGGAGUACGCUCGCAAGAGUG